ensembl:snRNA U6 U6 spliceosomal RNA
GUGCUCGCUUCGGCAGCACAUAGACUAAUACUGAAACGACACAGAAAGGAUUAGCGUGGCCCUUGCACAAGGCUGACCCGCAAGUUGGUGAGGCGUUCCAUACUUUU